rnacentral:rRNA from 1 species
GAUGAACGCUGGCGGCGUGCCUAAUACAUGCGAGUCGAGCGAACAGACGAGGAACUUGCUCCUCUGACGUUAGCGGCGGACGGGUGAGUAACACGUGGAUAACCUACCUAUAAGACUGGGAUAACUUCGGGAAACCGGAGCUAAUACCGGAUAAUAUAUUGAACCGCAUGGUUCAAUAGUGAAAGACGGUUUUGCUGUCACUUAUAGAUGGAUCCGCGCCGCAUUAGCUAGUUGGUAAGGUAACGGCUUACCAAGGCAACGAUGCGUAGCCGACCUGAGAGGGUGAUCGGCCACACUGGAACUGAGACACGGUCCAGACUCCUACGGGAGGCAGCAGUAGGGAAUCUUCCGCAAUGGGCGAAAGCUUGACGGAGCAACGCCGCGUGAGUGAUGAAGGUCUUCGGAUCGUAAAACUCUGUUAUUAGGGAAGAACAAAUGUGUAAGUAACUAUGCACGUCUUGACGGUACCUAAUCAGAAAGCCACGGCUAACUACGUG